rnacentral:rRNA from 1 species
GUGGGGAAUAUUGGACAAUGGGGGGAACCCUGAUCCAGCCAUGCCGCGUGUGUGAAGAAGGCCUUUUGGUUGUAAAGCACUUUAAGCGAGGAGGAGGCUACCGAGAUUAAUACUCUUGGAUAGUGGACGUUACUCGCAGAAUAAGCACCGGCUAACUCUGUGCCAGCAGCCGCGGUAAUACAGAGGGUGCAAGCGUUAAUCGGAUUUACUGGGCGUACAGCGCGCGUAGGUGGCCAAUUAAGUCAAAUGUGAAAUCCCCGAGCUUAACUUGGGAAUUGCAUGCGAUACUGGUUGGCUAGAGUAUGGGAGAGGAUGGUAGAAUUCCAGGUGUAGCGGUGAAAUGCGUAGAGAUCUGGAGGAAUACCGAUGGCGAAGGCAGCCAUCUGGCCUAAUACUGACACUGAGGUGCGAAAGCAUGGGGAGCAAACAGGAUUAGAAACCCUAGUAGUCC